UACUUUAAGAUUAAGUAAAAGUUAAAGGUUAUAGUUAUAUGGGUGAUUAAAGAGUUAUAUAGACAAUAAAGGGUAAAAUCAGGGUAUUGUUUUGUAUAAAAAAAAAUUGCAAUUGAAGCUAAAAAAAUUUAGAAAUAGACUAGGAUUAGAUACCCUAUUAUUCUAAAAUAAAUUUAACCAAACUAAAUUAGUAAAAGAUAAAUACUUAAAAUUUAAAAAAUUUGGCGGCAAUUUAAUCUUUUCAGAGGAACCUGUUUUAGAAUCGAUAAACCACGAAAGAUCUCACUUGUUCUUGUAAAAUUAACAGUUUGUAUACCAUCAUUAUCAGGUAAUUCUAAAAAGAAAAAUUACUAAAUUUAAUUGUUUAAAAAAAUUAGAUCAUGGUGCAGUCUAUGAGCAAGGUAAAAUGGGUUACAGUAAAUUAUUUUAAAUGGAUUAAUAAAAUAAUAUUAUUAUGAAAGUGGAUUUGAUUGUAUUUCUAGUUUAGUAGGCUAGUGAGAUAUAAGUUCUAAAUUGUGUACAUAUCGCCCGUCGCUUUCAUUUAUAAGU
rnacentral:rRNA from 1 species